rnacentral:rRNA from 1 species
AUUGAACGCUGGCGGCAGGCCUAACACAUGCAAGUCGAACGGUAACAGGAAGAAGCUUGCUUCUUUGCUGACGAGUGGCGGACGGGUGAGUAAUGUCUGGGAAACUGCCUGAUGGAGGGGGAUAACUACUGGAAACGGUAGCUAAUACCGCAUAACGUCGCAAGACCAAAAAGGGGGACCUCCGGGCCCCUUGCCAUCGGAUGUGCCCAGAUGGGAUUAGCUAGAAGGUGGGGUAACGGCUCACCUAGGCGACGAUCCCUAGCUGGUCUGUGAGGAUGACAAGCCACACUGGAACUGAGACACGGUCCAGACUCCUACGGGGGGCAGCAGUGGGGAAUAUUGCACAAUGGGCGCAAGUCUGAUGCAGCCAUGCCGCGUGUAUGAAGAAGGCCUUCGGGUUGUAAAGUACUUUCAGCGGGGAGGAAGGGAGUAAAGUUAAUACCUUUGCUCAUUGGCGUUACCCGCAGAAGAAGCACCGGCUAACUCCGUG